rnacentral:rRNA from 1 species
AUUGAACGCUGGCGGCAGGCCUAACACAUGCAAGUCGAACGGAGCGGCGGACGGGUGAGUAAUGCCUAGGAAUCUGCCUGGUAGUGGGGGAUAACGUCCGGAAACGGGCGCUAAUACCGCAUACUAUCAGAUGAGCCUAGGUCGGAUUAGCUAGUUGGUGGGGUAAAGGCCUACCAAGGCGACGAUCCGUAACUGGUCUGAGAGGAGGAUCAGUCAAACUGGAACUGAGACACGGUACAGAAUCCGACGGGAGGCAGAAGUGGGGAAUAUUGGACAAUGGGCGAAAGCCUGAUCCAGCAAUGCCGCGGGUGAGAAGAAGGUCUUCGGAUUGUAAAGCACUUUAAGAUGGGAGGCGUUACCAACAGAAUAGGAACCGGCUAACUUCGUGCCAGCAGACGCGGUAAUAC